rnacentral:rRNA from 1 species
GACGAACGCUGGCGGCGCGCCUAACACAUGCAAGUCGAACGGAGCUGCGAGAAGCUUGCUUUUCUUAGCUUAGUGGCGAACGGGUGAGUAACGCGUGAGUAACCUGCCCUGGAGUGGGGGACAACAGUUGGAAACGACUGCUAAUACCGCAUAAGCCCACGAUCCGGCAUCGGAUUGAGGGAAAAGGAUUUAUUCGCUUCAGGAUGGACUCGCGUCCAAUUAGCUAGUUGGUGAGGUAACGGCCCACCAAGGCGACGAUUGGUAGCCGGACUGAGAGGUUGAACGGCCACAUUGGGACUGAGACACGGCCCAGACUCCUACGGGAGGCAGCAGUGGGGGAUAUUGCACAAUGGGGGAAACCCUGAUGCAGCGACGCCGCGUGGAGGAAGAAGGUUUUCGGAUUGUAAACUCCUGUCGUUAGGGACGAUAAUGACGGUACCUAACAAGAAAGCACCGGCCAACUACGUG